UACGUAGGGAGCAAGCGUUGUUCGGAUUCAUUGGGCGUAAAGGGUGUGUAGGUGGCGCUGUAAGUCGGUGUGAAUUCGGAGCUUAACUCCGAAACUGCAUUCGAUACUGCGGUGCUUGAGGACUGGAGAGGAGACUGGAAUUCGAUGUGUAGCAGUGAAAUGCGUAGAGAUCAUGAGGAAGACCAGUGGCGAAGGCGGGUCUCUGGACAGU
rnacentral:rRNA from 1 species